UACGGGGGGGGGCAAGCGUUGUUCGGAAUUACUGGGCGUAAAGGCGCGUAGGCGGCCUGCUAAGUCGGAUGUGAAAUCCCUCGGCUCAACCGAGGAACUGCAUCCGAUACUGGCGGGCUUGAAUCCGGGAGAGGGAUGUGGAAUUCCAGGUGUAGCGGUGAAAUGCGUAGAUAUCUGGAGGAACACCGGUGGCGAAGGCGGCAUCCUGGACCGGUAUUGACGCUGAGGCGGCGAAAAGCUAGGGGAGCAAACGGG
rnacentral:rRNA from 1 species